rnacentral:rRNA from 1 species
UACGUAGGGUGCGAGCGUUAAUCGGAAUUACUGGGCGUAAAGCGUGCGCAGGCGGUUUUGUAAGACAGAUGUGAAAUCCCCGGGCUUAACCUGGGAACUGCAUUUGUGACUGGCGGGCUAGAGUUUGGCAGAGGGGGGUAGAAUUCCACGUGUAGCAGUGAAAUGCGUAGAUAUGUGGAGGAACACCGAUGGCGAAGGCAGCCCCCUGGGUCAAAACUGACGCUCAUGCACGAAAGCGUGGGGAGCAAACAGG